rnacentral:rRNA from 1 species
AGGAAAAGAAACCAACAGGGAUUGCCCUAGUAACGGCGAGUGAAGCGGCAACAGCUCAAAUUUGAAAUCUGGCGCAAGCCCGAGUUGUAAUUUGUAGAGGAUGCUUCUGGGUAGCGGCCGGUCUAAGUUCCUUGGAACAGGACGUCAUAGAGGGUGAGAAUCCCGUAUGUGACUGGCUUGCACCCUCCACGUAGCUCCUUCGACGAGUCGAGUUGUUUGGGAAUGCAGCUCUAAAUGGGAGGUAAAUUUCUUCUAAAGCUAAAUACCGGCCAGAGACCGAUAGCGCACAAGUAGAGUGAUCGAAAGAUGAAAAGCACUUUGGAAAGAGAGUUAAAAAGCACGUGAAAUUGUUGAAAGGAAGCGCCCGCAACCAGACUUUGCGGCAGUGUUCGGGCCGGUCUUCUGACCGGUUUACUCGCUGUCCGCCAGGCCAUCAUCGUCUGGGACCGCUGGAUAAGACCUUAGGAAUGUGGCUCCCCUCGGGGAGUGUUAUAGCCUCUGGUGAUCAGCGCGUCUCGGGCGAAGUCCGCGCUUCGGCAAGGAUGAUGGCGUAAUGGUUGUCGCCGGCCCGUCUUGAAACACGGACCAAGGAGUCUAACAUCUAUGCGAGUGUUCGGGUGUCAAACCCCUACGCGUAAUGAAAGUGAACGGAGGUGGGAACUUUUUGUGCACCAUCGACCGAUCCUGAUGUCCUCGGAUGGAUUUGAGUAAGAGCAUAGGUGUUGGGACCCGAAAGAUGGUGAACUAUGCCUGAAUAGGGUGAAGCCAGAGGAAACUCUGGUGGAGGCUCGCAGCGGUUCUGACGUGCAAAUCGAUCGUCAAAUUUGGGUAUAGGGGCGAAAGACUAAUCGAACCAU